GACGAACGCUGGCGGCGUGCUUAACACAUGCAAGUCGAGCGAUGAAGUUCUUCGGGAAUGGAUUAGCGGCGGACGGGUGAGUAACACGUGGGUAACCUGCCUCAUAGAGGGGAAUAGCCUUCCGAAAGGAAGAUUAAUACCGCAUAAGAUUGUAGUACCGCAUGGUAUAGCAAUUAAAGGAGUAAUCCGCUAUGAGAUGGACCCGCGUCGCAUUAGCUAGUUGGUGAGGUAACGGCUCACCAAGGCGACGAUGCGUAGCCGACCUGAGAGGGUGAUCGGCCACAUUGGGACUGAGACACGGCCCAGACUCCUACGGGAGGCAGCAGUGGGGAACAUUGCACAAUGGGGGAAACCCUGAUGCAGCAACGCCGCGUGAGUGAUGACGGUCUUCGGAUUGUAAAGCUCUGUCUUCAGGGACGAUAAUGACGGUACCUGAGGAGGAAGCCACGGCUAACUACGUGCCAGCCGCCGCAGUAA
rnacentral:rRNA from 1 species